rnacentral:rRNA from 1 species
UUGGAGGGCAAGUCUGGUGCCAGCAGCCGCGGUAAUUCCAGCUCCAAUAGCGUAUAUUAAAGUUGUUGCAGUUAAAAAGCUCGUAGUUGAAUUUCGGGACCAAUUUGUUGGUCGUGCCUCGGUACGUACUGGUAUUAUUGGUUUCCCCCUUCUGAAGAACCUUGAUGUCAUUAAUUUGGUGUCUUGGGGAAUCAGGACUGUUACUUUGAAAAAAUUAGAGUGUUUAAAGCAGGCAUACGCUUGAAUACAUUAGCAUGGAAUAAUGAAAUAGGACGUUUGAUUCUAUUUUGUUGGUUUCUAGGAUCGACGUAAUGAUUAAUAGGGAUAGUUGGGGGCAUUAGUAUUCAAUUGUCAGAGGUGAAAUUCUUGGAUUUAUUGAAGACUAACUACUGCGAAAGCAUUUGCCAAGGAUGUUUUCAUUAAUCAAGAACGAAAGUUAGGGGAUCGAAGACGAUCAGAUACCGUCGUAGUCUUAACCAUAAACUAUGCCGACUAGGGAUCGGAUGAUGUUAAUUUUUUAAUGACUCAUUCGGCGCCUUACGGGAAACCAAAGUGUUUGGGUUC